UAUCUUCUAACAAAAUAGAUUUAAUUACAAGAAUUAACUUGUAAAUAUUCGAAAGUUCCUAUGAAUAUGUCGACUAUGUCGAAGAACCAUAUGUAAUUCAAGAACAACUUGUGGGUAAGCUUCUUGAAUAUGAGAAACGUUAUUGAGAAACAUGAAAUACAUUAUGAAUUUGAACAUCACAAGGCAAAUUUUGAUUUGCACUCCAGCUUCUCUCUGGAUUUCAUCCGGUCCACAUUCUUCAGGGAAACAAUUCAUGUCAUAGCUUAUGAAUUUCACGCUCGGUCUAUCAUGGAUCCAAAAGUAAGAACCAAGCAAUACUCAAAGUGAGUUUUGCAUCGGUGGCAGGGAUAGUUUUGUGCAACAAAAGCUAUCUGUGUUAUGCUUCAAGUCCGGGAGAAGCUGAUCCUCAGACAGGUCUACAUAUUCAGUAUCUCCUCAAGAUUGUGGUGUUGAGAAGGU